rnacentral:lncRNA from 1 species
UGCAAGCCUCCACUUUGACCAUCCCGCUCAUAUACGAUGAGUGACGUCCUCGUCAAUCUCUCCGUCCCCCUGAAUCACCGACCUAAGAUAUCUGACACUGUCCCUCUUGGCGAUGACCUGAGAUCCAAUUAUCAUAUCCCUGCCUACUUCGCUCGGCUCGGCGCUAAACUUGCACUCCAGGUACUCUGUCUUAGAUCUGCUUAUUUUGAAACAUUUAGACUCG